UUAAAAUCCAUGGGAGACGGAGUAUAUUUGGGAAAGUACGAUCUAUCGACAAUCAAAUUGGAAAUAUUGUAGAGAACAUUCUAGAAAAACAAAAAAAAAAAAAUGAACAUUUGAAUCUGAAAUGUUAUGGAGAAAAAUUAAAAAAAAAACAUCUUACCGCCUUCACUGGACAUUUGCGGGGAAAAUUGCUGCUUUGAAGGACAUUAUUGUAAAGUUUUCUAAUAAGAGGAAUUUUAGAUAUUUCCCAUGAGUUCUGAUGGUCACUUUAACAUGGACAUCGAAUUCUGUACCCAACUGUUGAUUGAGCAUUACCAAACCACUGCCGGAAAAUUGAUUUGGUCCCAAUUGGCUAUAGGAACAUUCAAGUCGUUUUAUCACUUGAGGUAUAAUUGGUUUACAGAUUAACUGGGGAAAACUUAAAAUGAAAUUCCAAUUUGCGGCGGUCUAUAAGAGUAAAUUUACACAUGAUCACGUGAAAAAAACCUUUAAUUAAUUAACUUACCUCAGUUGUAUUUAAACAAUACCAGAUUAUAAGAAAGAAUAGACCAUUUUGCAACAUGUUUUAUAGAA